rnacentral:rRNA from 1 species
AGCGAACGCUGGCGGCAGGCCUAACACAUGCAAGUCGAGCGCCCAGCAAUGGGAGCGGCAGACGGGUGAGUAACGCGUGGGGAUCUGCCCGAUGGUACGGAAUAAUUCCGGGAAACUGGGACUAAUACCGUAUGUGCCCGCAAGGGGAAAGAUUUAUCGCCAUCGGAUGAACCCGCGUCGGAUUAGCGAGUUGGUGUGGUAAAGGCGCACCAAGGCGCCGAUCCGUAGCUGGUCUGAGAGGAUGAUCAGCCACACUGGGACUGAGACACGGCCCAGACUCCUACGGGAGGCAGCAGUGGGGAAUAUUGGACAAUGGGCGCAAGCCUGAUCCAGCCAUGCCGCGUGAGUGAUGAAGGCCUUAGGGUUGUAAAGCUCUUUCGCCGGUGAAGAUAAUGACGGUAACCGGAGAAGAAGCCCCGGCUAACUUCGUGCCAGCCGCCGCCGUAACAC